rnacentral:misc_RNA from 1 species
AACGCACCUUGCGCUCCUUGGUAUUCCGAGGAGCAUGCCUGUUCGAGUGUCAUUAAAUUUAUCAAACCUUUUACUUAUUUGUAAAGGAUUUGGAAGUGAGGGUUUUUGCUGGCUUUGAAAAGAGUCUGCUCCCUUCAAAUUCAUUAGCUGUUACAUACGAGUGUUAGUUGGUGUGAUAAUUAUCUACGCCGCUGGAUGGCACUUGUUAUAUAAAUGUAUCGCUUCUAAUUGUCCUUUUUGUGGACAUUUUGACGACAUUUGACCUCGAAUCAGGUAGGACUACCCGCUGAACUUAA